UGGGGAAUAUUGCACAAUGGGCGAAAGCCUGAUGCAGCAACGCCGCGUGAGUGAUGAAGGCCUUCGGGUCGUAAAACUCUGUCCUCAAGGAAGAUAAUGACGGUACUUGAGGAGGAAGCCCCGGCUAACUACGUG
rnacentral:rRNA from 1 species